AUAAUCUGCCACACGAAGGGACAAAAUGUGAGGAGUGGUGAGCUGUUCAUCUAGAGAGAGUCCAACUGCCCUCCGUAUGCUUUUCCAGUACUGCAGAGGCCAGAAAGGCGCACUAGAAACCAGCUCAUUAGUGCAAAGUUCGUGGUGGGAUGGGGACAGCCUAAGGUGACAGGAGUCUAAACCGUGACAUUGAGCCUGUGUUUUGGAAUGAUGGGAAUGAGAAACAAAGAGUGUGAGUUGGAGUUGUGUUCCAUGUCACGUCUUAGGAACACGUGCAGCCGCCCAGGAGGAAAGAUGAGCAUGGUGCGUUUUCUAGACAACCAAUACCACAAAUAAGGACUCUGAAGAUUUCUUCAGUCUUGGAGCCAGGCUCAAACCACCUGUGGGCCACCAGGAAAGUCUUACACGCGUUCUCGCGACCGGCCAGGAAGAACGCAACAAACCGGAAUCUUCUGCAGCAAAGCUUUAUUGCUUACAUCUUCAGGAGCCAGAGAGCAAGAGAGCAAGAGCUCUAACUGCUUACAUCUUCAGGAGCCAGAGAGCAAGAGAGCAAGAGCUCUAUUGCUUACAUCUUCAGGAGCCAGAGAGCAAGAGUGCAAGAGCUCUAUUGCUUACAUCUUCAGGAGCCAGAGAGCAAGAGUGCAAGAGAGAGAAUGGCAAAACCCCAUCCCUUUUUAAGGAGAAUUAUCCUCCGCCUAGGACGUGUCACUCCCUGAUUGGCUGCAGCCCAUCGGCCGAGUUGUCGUUACGGGGAAGGCAGAGCACAUGGAGUGAAGAACUACCCUUGGCACAUGCGCAGAUUAUUUGUUUACCACUUAGAACACAGGAUGUCAGCGCCAUCUUGCAACGGCGAAUGUGAGGGCGGCUUCCCACAGGAAAGCAUCGAGGAAAGGUAAUAUCUACUUCUUGGAAGGACGCCACCUCCUCCCAAAAGGAGCAUACUCGUCCCUCUCCUUUACUAGCCUAUCCCAUGCCUCUUCUUACCCCAUCUCUAACUCCUCAGCCUGCUGGCUUAGAGGUUAAGCCCUGAGCUUCUCUUUUCUUUGGCUACUGAAUAAAGCCCAUUUUGACCCCAGCACUGACUUGGCCUUGGCAUGAGCCUUUGGACCUGGGUUUGAGAACCCAGGGAAGAGGUUAUUCUGGAACCCUGAACUGACAACACAAUACCAUCAGCGUCUGUCCACCAGAAAAUGCACAUCAAUGCAGAAGUAUCCACGGAAGAGAAGCUGAGCAAGAUGGCCACAGUGCCAGCCCCUUCUCCAGCAAUCUCUCCACAUAGAACCCUAUUCCUACCCCCAAACUGCCACCACCAGACCGAAGGAAACCAGGUGAUGUCAGCUGCCUGGUUUCCAGUAUAAGAAAUAUGAAAAGCUAAACUGAAGAAAGCGAGAAAAGAUGUCCACAUUACUCCUACACCAACUCUAAGCUAGGAGGGAGUCAGUCUGUACCGGCUGAUGGGAGGGCUAUACAUCCUUCCAUCCCUGCAGCAAGCAAGAAGGCAGCUAUGCGUCCUCAUCCACUUGGGUAGCAGGGAUGGACCCAGGACUGGGUCAGAGUUCCAGCCCAGCGGAAGCAGGGUAAAAAAGACAAGAAAGCCACGUGACUAUGGGUCAGAAACCAUGGGAAAUAGAAGAACCCUUCAUCCCUGUGGGGCUUUUUGCUGAGAAGGGCAGGAAGCUUCGGUUGCCACUGGUUACGCCCUAACUACCCAAAGAGACAGUGUGUGCUUCCAGAAGACAUUUUGUCCGAGACAAUAAAUAAACCAAACUCACGUGGAGCACAAAUAAUGU
rnacentral:lncRNA from 1 species